rnacentral:misc_RNA from 1 species
AAGUCGUAACAAGGUGAACCUGCGGAAGGAUCAUUAACACGUAUCCAACGUUAAACCCCCCCGUGAACCUUCAGAGCGUUCUUGCCGCCCGUGACAAUCAGCAAUCCUGGUAAAUCAAGUGGGAAUAUCCGUUAUUGAUUCAGGACCUCUGCUGUCUUGGGGAAACCAUAGCGGCAAUUGAGAGCUUUUAUCGUUAGUUUGGCGUCCUGGCCGGGCGAGUGAAAGUGUCGCUAGACGGUUUCUAGGGUAAGGCUUCGCCAUCGCUGGAGGCUCACCACGUAGCCGGCGGACAAACUACAGGGCUAUAUGCCCCCUAAUGACGACCAAGUUAAAUAGGGCCUCUGUCACAUAGCAAGUGCGCCGUGCCAGAGGAAAAGUACAACUGUUAACAAUGGAUAUCUUGGUUCUC